rnacentral:rRNA from 1 species
AUGAGCAAAUCCAGCGCCGCCGCCGUCGCCAAGAAGCUCGCCUCCGACCUCGCAGGGAAGGAGAUACUGGGACUAUUUCUAAAUAGAAUAGCACCUGAACUUGAUUUGCUUGUACUAUUUGUCAAACAUCAAGAAAAUAGGGGAUCAACAGCAAUGACAGUCCGUAAACAGUCAGAACUCUUGAGCAAAAUUGAACACGACAAAGCAUUUAAGGUGCCAGGUUUGAGAGAUGCAAUAGCGUCACCUCAGAAGAAUGUGGGCCUUGACGUCCAGGAUGGUGCAGUACAUGAAGUGCUCUAG